CCGGCGUCGUUGCCCACCCCCCACUUCCCCCUCCGUUACGAUAAUUGCGACUAGAUUGCUGAUUUGGGGAUCAAUUUUUUUGGGAUCUGGAUUUUGAGGAGAGAGGAAAAUCGAUGUGCUUAUCUGCCGUGGAGCAGGCUGGUGUCGGUGGCGGUGUGGGGUGGUGGUGAGGAAGAGAAGGGGUUAGCAGGGUGGUGUGUGUGGUGGUGGUGAUGAAGAGAAGGGCUGCCAUGGAAGACAGGGAAGAAGGAAGGGGAGAGAGAAAAAAACAAAAAAUAAAAAAUAAGAAAUUAAAAGGGAAAGAGAAAAAAUAAAAAUUAAAUUAAACGGAUUUUUCAUGAAAUGCCCCUGAGGUUUGCGUUAAUGCACCAAAUACCCCUAAACUUUCCAGAAUGCACCAAAUACCCUUGAGGUUUUAAAAAAUAACACAAAGUACCCUUAAUGAGCAUUUUCCGUCAAUUCAUUUAAGUCUCCGUUAACAUUAAAUUUUUAAAAUUUUUCUGUUUUUCUUUCUCUUUUCUCUUUCAUGUUCCUUUGUUCUUUCUCCUUCUCCUUCCCAAAAUCUCAGGGAGUCUGCAAAUCAAAUUUUUUUUCCUUAUUUUUUUUUUCUUUUUUUUUUCCCUUUUCCUUUAUUCUGCUUCCUUCCCCUUCUUUCCAUGGAUCCUUAAAUUCGAACAAAAAAUUAAAAAAAAUGGGUUUUCUCUCUCCUCCUCCAUGGUUGCGAAUUAAGGGUUUUUUGGUUGCGAAUUUUCUGCUAAUUAUGAGUGUUUUUUUUGUUGUGAAUCAUCUGCAAAUUAAGGGGUGUUUCUCUUCGAUUUUUGUAGAUAAUAUUUCUCAAUUUUGGGUGAUUUUUUGGGUCGAUAUUUUGGGUUGAUUUUUUGGGUUUGGAAGAAAAUAAGAGGAAGAGUUCAUUGUGAGCAGCCAUGGUAGUCUCCCCCAAUCACAUUGCAGGCUCCACCACCGUCGUCGCCCGUGUAGGUUGGAGAUGGGAACAGGAGAGAGAAAUUGGGCGAGAGUGAGAAAGAAAAAGGGGCGGGUUUUGCGAAUUGGAGGAGAGACGGUUAAUUAGGGAUAGGAUGGUGAUGGUCAUUGCUUCCAUGGUGGUUUGAGAUGAGAAAGAAGAUGAUGAUGAUGAAGAUGUCGUAUCAAAAUUACAAAGGUGAAGAUGAAGACAAAUGAAGAAGCAAGCAAGCAGAAUAGCAGAUUCACAUUUUGGGGUCAAUUUUUUUUGUUUUUUUAAUAGCUAAUUAGAUUAUUUUAGGGGCUUAAUUUUUUUAGAUAAUA